CAUCCUGUGGUUUUCCACAUAAUCCAUAUCAUCAGGUGCACACGGGGGCGCCGAUCUCCCAUUUUCCCGGCCGACGGUCAAAUAUCAUAUCAUAUUCAGGAUCCAUAUCACAGACCGUCCUCACAAACCCACGGUGGUCCACUUCAUCCCAAUUCCACACAAACAAAGCAUAGCAUUAUCACAACAUAAUUAAUCAAACAUUGCAAUCAAAUGCAGACAUAUUGAUCAGUUGCACGUCGUAAUGCGAUGCACAAUUAGACAUCCAUUCUCAAAUGCAAAUAAAUGAAUAAAUAAAUAAUAAUAUUAACAAUAAACAACAACAAUAAAAUAAAUAAUAAUAAUAAACAAUAACAACGAAAAUAAAUAAUUAGAGCA
rnacentral:lncRNA from 1 species